AGAUGAACAGCCAGCGCGACAAAAAACCGACGGUUGUGAUGAGAGAAGCAUCGUCAGACAUAGUAGUCACAAGUAAAGUUGUGGUGACGUUAGUGGACGGACAGGGAGCAUCGCAGCGUUGCGGCGCGUCCCAACGGACGACUAUCGGGAGCGGAUGGACCCAGCAGACGACUGCGGUGGCCGCCGCCAGCAGGGGAUGGUUCGAGUUGGCUCCCGCCGCCCGCAUC